rnacentral:rRNA from 1 species
GAACGCUGGCGGCGUGCCUAAUACAUGCAAGUAGAACGCACAGGAUGCACCGUAGUUUACUACACCGUAUUCUGUGAGUUGCGAACGGGUGAGUAACGCGUAGGUAACCUGCCUGGUAGCGGGGGAUAACUAUUGGAAACGAUAGCUAAUACCGCAUAAGAACAUUUACUGCAUGGUAGAUGUUUAAAAGGUGCAAAAGCAUCACUACCAGAUGGACCUGCGUUGUAUUAGCUAGUUGGUGAGGUAACGGCUCACCAAGGCAACGAUACAUAGCCGACCUGAGAGGGUGAUCGGCCACACUGGGACUGAGACACGGCCCAGACUCCUACGGGAGGCAGCAGUAGGGAAUCUUCGGCAAUGGGGGGAACCCUGACCGAGCAACGCCGCGUGAGUGAAGAAGGUUUUCGGAUCGUAAAGCUCUGUUGUUAAGGAAGAACGUGUGUGAGAGUG